UCCUAACUCUGGUGGAACGAAUGGAUGA
rnacentral:piRNA from 1 species